GCAGGCGGGAUGUUAAGUCGGCGGUGAAAUUUUGCAGCUCAACUGUAAAAGUNCNNUCGAUACUGGCUUUCUUGAGUGUGGAUGAAGUAGGCGGAAUUUGUGGUGUAGCGGUGAAAUGCUUAGAUAUCACGAGGAACUCCGAUUGCGCAGGCAGCUUACUAAACCACUACUGACGCUCAUGCACGAAGGCGUGGGGAUCAAACAGGAUUAGAUACCCUGGUAGUCCACGCAGUAAACGAUGAUUACUAGUUGUUUGCGAUACAAUGUAAGCGACUGAGCGAAAGCGUUAAGUAAUCCACCUGGGGAGUACGUUCGCAAGAAUGAAACUCAAAGGAAUUGACGGGGGCCCGCACAAGCGGAGGAACAUGUGGUUUAAUUCGAUGAUACGCGAGGAACCUUACCCGGGCUUGAAAUGCGGCGGACCGGCAGAGAGAUCUGCCUUCCCUUCGGGGCCGCCGUGUAGGUGCUGCAUGGUUGUCGUCAGCUCGCGCCGUGAGGUGUCGGCUUAAGUGCCAUAACGAGCGCAACCCUCAUCAUUAGUUACUAACAGGUCAUGCUGAGGACUCUAGUGAGACUGCCAUCGUAAGAUGCGAGGAAGGUGGGGAUGACGUCAAAUCAGCACGGCCCUUACGUCCGGGGCGACACACGUGUUACAAUGGGUGGUACAAAGGGCAGCUACCUGGCGACAGGAUGCUAAUCUCCAAAACCACUCUCAGUUCGGAUCGGAGUCUGCAACUCGACUCCGUGAAGCUGGAUUCGCUAGUAAUCGCGCAUCAGCCACGGCGCGGUGAAUACGUUCCCGGGCCUUGUACACACCGCCCGUCAAGCCAUGGAAGCCGGGGGUACCUGAAGUCCGUAACCGUCAAGGAGCGGCCUAGGGUAAAACUGGUAACUGGGGCU
rnacentral:rRNA from 1 species